GCUCAGUAACACGUGGAGAACGUGCCCUUAAGUGGAGGAUAAUCUCGGGAAAUUGAGGAUAAUACUCCAUAGAUCAUGAGAUCUGGAAUGACUCAUGGUUCAAAGUUCCGGCGCUUAAGGAUCGCUCUGCGGCCUAUCAGGUAGUAGUGGGUGUAAAGUACCCCCUAGCCUACGACGGGUAUGGGCCUUGAGAGAGGGAGCCCAGAGUUGGAUUCUGAGACACGAAUCCAGGCCCUACGGGGCGCAGCAGUCGCGAAAACUUCACACUGGGGGGAACCCCGAUGAGGGAAAUCCUAGUGCUAGGACAUUUGUUCUAGCUUUUCUCAAGCGUAGAUAACUUGAGGAAUAAGGGCUGGGUAAGACGGGUGCCAGCCGCCGCGGUAAUACCUGCAGCCCAAGUGGUGGUCGAUUUUAUUGAGUCUAGAACGUUCGUAGCCGGUUUGAUAAAUCUUUGGGUAAAUCGGGAAGCUUAACUUUCCGACUUCCGAAGAGACUGUCAAACUUGGGACCGGGAGAGGCUAGAGGUACUUCUGGGGUAGGGGUAAAAUCCUGUAAUCCUAGAAGGACCACCGGUGGCGAAGGCGUCUAGCUAGAACGGAUCCGACGGUGAGGGACGAAGCCCUGGGUCGCAAACGGGAUUAGAUACCCCGGUAGUCCAGGGUGUAAACGCUGCCGACUUGGUGUUGGAGGCCCUUCGGGGGCAUUCAGUGCCGGAGAGAAGUUGUUAAGUCGGCUACUUGGGGAGUACGUCCGCAAGGAUGAAACUUAAAGGAAUUGGCGGGGGAGCAC
rnacentral:rRNA from 1 species